CCAAUAGCGUAUAUUAAAGUUGUUGCAGUUAAAAAGCUCGUAGUUGAACUUCGGGGUCUACCCAUUGGUCAGGCUUAAUUGUCUGCACUGGUGAGAUGGAUCUCUACCUUCUGAGGAACUUUCAUGCCAUUUAUUUGGUGUGAUGGGAAAUCAGGACUGUUACUUUGAAAAAAUUAGAGUGUUUAAAGCAGACUAUCGUC
rnacentral:rRNA from 2 species